UGAGGAAUAUUGGGCAAUGCCCGCAAGGGUGACCCAGCAACGCCGCGUGGAGGAUGAAUGUCGUAAGAUUGUAAACUCCUGUUAGAGGGGAAGAAUAGUACCGGUUGGACCGGUAUAUGACUGUACCCUCAGAGAAAGCCCCGGCUAACUACGUGCCAGCAGCCGCGGUAAUACGUAGGGGGCAAGCGUUGUCCGGAUUUACUGGGUGUAAAGGGCGCGCAGGCGGGAUAAAAAGUCAGUGGUGAAAUCCUACAGCUUAACUGUAGAACUGCCUUUGAUACUUUUAUUCUUGAGUUCGGGAGAGAGAGACGGAAUUCCAGGUGUAGUGGUGAAAUACGUAGAUAUCUGGAAGAACACCAGUUGCGAAGGCGGUCUCUUGGUCCGACACUGAAGCUGAGGCGCGAAAGCGUGGGGAGCAAACA
rnacentral:rRNA from 1 species